rnacentral:rRNA from 1 species
AGAGAGAGACAUGCGCGCAUAUCAAUAAGCGGAGGAAAAGAAACUAACAAGGAUUCCCUUAGUAACGGCGAGUGAAGCGGGAAGAGCUCAAAUUUGAAAUCUUCAAGGUUCUACCUUGACGAAUUGUAGUUUAAAGAAGUGUUUUCUGUUGAAGUUUUGGUAAAAGUUCUUUGGAAUAGGACAUCAUAGAGGGUGAGAAUCCCGUAUUUGACCAUUAUUUCCAGCUUUGUGAUACACUUUCAAAGAGUCGGAUUGUUUGGGAAUGCAGUCCAAAAUGGGUGGUAAAUUUCAUCUAAAGCUAAAUAUUGACGAGAGACCGAUAGCGAACAAGUACCGUGAGGGAAAGAUGAAAAGAACUUUGAAAAGAGAGUUAAACAGUACGUGAAAUUGUCAAAAGGGAAGCGUUUGACACCAGUGUUGUUUUCUCGAAAAUCAAUUAAAAAUGGCUCGAUUUUGUAUUGCUUGAGACCUUAAAAGCUCACUGUACAUUUUUCGUGUCUUUUUUAAUGCACUUUUCGUUUAACAAGUCAACAUCAGUUUCUUUUGUUGUAAAAGGGUCAUUGGAAGGUGGCUUUCUUUUCGGAGAAAGUGUUUAUAGCCUUUGGCCUCUGCAAUCGAAGAGACUGAGGUCUGCAGCGUAGACUCUUCGGGGUUAGAUACAUUUGUGCUAAGUUAUAGCUUUUUAUAGACAACUUGUUGACUAUAAUUAGUCUUGUAGCUUACUCGCUUAUGCUAUUUUACCUACGCUUAGGAUGUUGAAGAUGUAGCACAUCAU